GCUGCCCCUGAGCCAGGGCCUAGGUGAUCUGCUGCCCACAUUCUACCAUGGCCAGGCCCUGCAGAAGCCUCCCCACCCUGGUUUUUGUUCAGCCCUGGCUUGGCGGGCAAGGCAGGAGCAGGAACGUGUGGGCCUGCAGCCCGCCCUCCCCACGUCACUGCAGCUGCCUCCUCCUGGCCUAUGGGAGCCCUGGGGACACACCUGUCGGUGGCCAGGAGCAGAGAUUGGCCGGCUGGGAGCAGGCACCUGCGUGGGGCGGGGUGAGGAGUGCAUGUAAGGCGAGCCCGGCCACGCCGCCUCUUCCUUCCCGGCUGUCUGUGGCGCCCGCCAUUGUCCCUGGCUGUCUACCUGUACACCCUUAAUCUAUGCUUCCCUUUGUGUCUGAGCCUCACCCGGAGGGAGACAGUCCUUCCUGUGCUUCCUGAGCUACAGCACCUGAGGCCAGAUCUUGGUUGGGAGAGGCUGGGCCGAAGUCAGGUGUGGGCGCAGGCCCCGAGGACCACGGGCUGGCAGGUAUAUGGGUGAUGGGCGCCAGGCUGCUCCGCGUCCUCUCUGAGGUCUGUUCACACCCCACUGGGUCCUGGGCUUGGGGACAGCGCUGGCUGCUGAGCUGGGGGCGGGAGCGAUUCCAACCCGGCUCCUCAGCUGAGGAACCUGUCAGGAACCUGUUGGGGCAGGUCAGGGCGGGCAGGCCCCACAGGCCUGUGGGGCCUCUGCAAGAAGCUCAGCAGGCCCCUGCGAUGACGCGGACGGAGCAGGGUGACCGUGACAGAUGGGCCACGCAGAGGACACGGCCACGUCCAGGGUGUUGGUGGGCAUGGAGUGGGGCAGGUCCUUCCUUUCCGUGGAGAGGGUGACCCCUCGGGCUGCGGCGCGGCUGGGUUCCAGGUGUGGAGCCAUCUUGAGCUGGACUGGGAGCAACCCUGGUCCAUAGGCCGCACUUUGUCCAGGUGGGUUCCGGCACCAAAGGAGAGAACCGACUCCCAGAAGGGCCACAGACCACUGUCGACCUCGCGAGGGGACCUUCUAAGAUGUUCUUUUCAAAGUGGCCACUGAUUUUUCCAAAGGGAAGGUUGUGGCCCCAGAAGUGUGUGUGUGUGGGGUGGUGGGGGGUCAGCCAGUUUUGGGGGGUUUCUGGGGCUGGUGUAUGACCCUGUGGCCAGUCGUCUGGCCCAGGCCUGCGGGCUGACGAGUGUGGGAGGCUGGGCUCGUCAGGCCUCUCUGGGGCUUUUCUAGAUGCUGGUGGCUGAGGUGCAGCAGAGCCAAGACCACCGGAGGAGGAAGGGUGGGUGCCCUAGCUGUCAGUCAGGGCCAGGGCCGUUCUAAAGAUGUUUCACUGCAGUGCCAGAGGGCACAGUGUAGGUGCUCGUGGACCUCGGCCUGCAAGGUCGGCCGGGUCCUCUCGUCUCGUGCUGGUCUCCCCAGAUGGGCCCUGAGAGUCCCCAGCUCUAGAGGCUGUGGUGUUGAGGGAAGGGAGGCUGUUCUCUCUGAGGCACGAUACAGAGUGGCUGCUUUCACUGUUCUUGAGCCAAACUUUCAGGCCAUAGGAAGUGGAUGUUUUGAUUAACCUGCUGAAUGUUUUAGGCCUUUUUUUGCUGAGCAUCUGGAAAAACGGAUUAGUUUUGUUUUUCUAGUAAUCCAGAUACAGUGUUAGAGCGAUUGGCAGAUCACUGAAUUAGGCAAAGUAAGUUUUGCAUUUAUGAAAACAUAAU
rnacentral:lncRNA from 1 species